AGCAAUACAGGACAGCGGCGAAAGGGAGAGGACAUACGGGAAUCUGCCUUGGGGACGAGGAUAGCGUCGGGAAACUGACAGUAAUACUCGAUAAUGUUUGCGGACCAAAGGUGUGAUUCCGCCCCAAGAUGAGCCCGUGCCCCAUUAGCUAGUUGGCAGGGUAAUGGCCUACCAAGGCUGUGAUGGGUAGCUGGUGUGAGAGCACGACCAGCCUCACUGGCACUGAGACACUGGCCAGACACCUACGGGUGGCUGCAGUCGAGAAUCUUCGGCAAUGGACGCAAGUCUGACCGAGCGACGCCGCGUGCGGGAUGAAGGCCUUCGGGUUGUAAACCGCUGUCGUAGGGAAUCAAAUGUAUGAGGGUACUCCCUUGUAUUUGAGAGAUCCUAGGAGGAAGGAGAGGCUAAGCUCGUGCCAGCAGCCGCGGUAAGACGAGCUCUCCAAACGUUAUUCGGUAUUACUGGGCUUAAAGAGUUCGUAGGCGGCUCUGAAGGUGAGAUGUGAAAGCCCUCGGCCUAACCGAGGAACUGCGUUUCAAACCACAGGGCUUGAGGGAGAUAGGGGUAAGCGGAACAGAUGGUGGAGCGGUGAAAUGCAUUGAUAUCAUCUGGAACACCGGUGGCGAAGGCGGCUUACUGGGUCUUUUCUGACGCUGAGGAACGAAAGCUAGGGUAGCGAACGGGAUUAGAUACCCCGGUAGUCCUAGCCGUAAACGAUGAGCACUAG
rnacentral:rRNA from 1 species